GGGGGUCUUCUAGUCAGGGCAGCCCAGGACUUCCAUACACACUGCCUAGGCUUGUGCCCCAGGAGGUCUCUUUGGUGCUGCUAACACAGAAAAACAAUGCAGGAAGCAGCAAUUGUGAGUUACCAGCCACAGAAGGUGCUGUGAUUCUCCAGCAGUUUGACUUCACCCACGGAGGCACAAGAAGAACAAGAACAACAUGCUUUUUGCUCUUUAAACCGCAGUGUGAACACCCCUUUCAACAGAAGCCUAGAUGUGAUCACAAGCAGACCUUGGAAUUCCCUACCCAGAGAGCUCCACUUUUCCUUUUCCUUGAUGCUUUUCUCGCAUGGUGCACACACUUCCCUUUGUUGGAUAGUCGUCAGUUGUUAGUAAGGUGAGACUAAUGAAUUUUUACUGCUCUUCUUACAUUUUUGACUUCGCUUCCUUGUAUCUUCUGUUAUGUAAUACAGUGGUGCCUCGCAAGACGAAAAGAAUCCGUUCUGUGAGUCUCUUCGUCUAGCGGUUUUUUCGUCUUGCGAAGCAAGCCCAUUGACGGAUUAGCGGAUUAGCGCUAUUAGUGCUAUUAGCGGCUUUUAGUGGCUUAUCGGCUUAUCGGAUAAGCGGCUUAGCGGCUUAGCGGCUUAGAAAAAGGGGGGGGAAGGAAAAAAAAAACCGCAGGAACUCGCAAGACAUUUUCAUCUUGCGAAGCAAGCCCAUAGGAGAUUCGUUUUGCGAAGCACCUCCAAAACAGAAAACUCUUUCGUCUAGCGAGUUUUCCGUCUUGCGAGGCAUUCGUCUUGCGGGGCACCACUGUAAUGUUUUCAUGAUUUAUUACGUUGUGAUUGUGUCUUUACUGUAUUCUUUAUGUAUAGACAUGUUGUUUUUGUUUCUUCAUUAAACCACCUUAAUCUUUUUGGAAAGGCAGGAUAUAAAUGUUCCCCACUCCCAGUUUUGGUGGUUGGGAUGAACUUGUGUUCUUUAGGUCAGGUGUGAGGAAACCUUUGGCCCUCCAGAUGUUGCUGAACCAUGACUCUCAUCAUCCCUGACCAAUGGCCAUGUUUUCUGGGGCUCAUAUAAUUCAACAACAUCUGGAGGGCCAAAUGUUCCCCACACUUGACCUAAGACAGAGAGGGAAGUAAUAUUGUCCAGGAUGAGCCACACAUCCUGUAGCUCUGGGGAAGCCAAUGUAAUGCCCUCCAUUUGUUGGACUAGAACACCCAGCAUUCCUGACCAUUGGCCAUGCUCACUAAGGCUGAUGGGAACUGGAGCCCAGCAACAUACGGAGGGCACCAUGUUGGCUACCCCAACUGUAGGUGAUAUAUAUCAAAGAAGUUUUAGCUGAGAGCUAUAAGUGACAUCAAGUGGUGUCACGUGACUUCAUCUAUUACAGUGGUACCUCGGGUUAAGAACUUAAUUUGUUCUGGAGGUCCAUUCUUAACCUGAAACUGUUCUUAACCUGAGGUACCACUUUAGCUAAUGGGGCCUCCCGCUGCCACCGCACGAUUUCUGUUCUUAUCCUGAAGCAAAGUUAGCGGAGUCUGUAACCUGAAGCAUCUGUAACCUGAAGCGUCUGUAACCCGAGGUACCACUGUAGGUCUCUCUUAUAGCAGACUGAUUAUUUCAGUCUUUCUUUUUAAUUUGUUUUUCAUGUUCUUAGGUUGGUACUGCUGUCUAAGAAAUGUCUGGUGUAAAUCCUGUUGUGAAUCUCUGUCUGAAGGGUCAGGAUGGAUGCUGUUGUAUUGCAGGACUUACCUGUAGACAAUGGAUUUUGUGGUGUGUUCUGGGUGGAAGCUGGAUUCAUAAAAAUAUUACAGACUUUCAAUAAGAAAGUUUCCAAUAUAAAGUGGUCGUUACAGUGGUACCUUGGUUCUCAAACACCAAAAACCCGGAAUUAAGUGUUCCGGUUUUCGAAUGUUUUUCAGAAGCCGAACAUCCAAUGCGGCUGUCAGCUAUUGUUUCCGGGGAACUGCACCAAUCAGAAGCUGCACUUUGGUUUUCGAACAUUUCAGAAGUCAAACUGACUUUCGGAACGGAUUAGGUUUGGCGCUUUUGUUUUUGCUAUUUAUUUUGCAGUUUUGCCUUUGAGACUUUUUCAGUUAAUUUGUUUUUGUGACUGUGUGAAACCCAGUUCAGCUACUGGUUGAUUGAUUGAUUGUGUGACUGUGGAAAUGGAUUUAAAAAAUCACCCAUCCAAACAAUGACUAUCAUCAGUGCAGGUAAGAAAAAAAAUUAAUUUUAAUUUUUAUCAUCUAUGUACGAUACUGUCUUUCAUUUUAUGGAUCGUUUGAUAGUAAAAUUCAUGUUAAAUUGCUGUUUUAGGGAUUGUUUUUAAAAAUCUGGAACUGAUUAAUCCAUUUUGCAUUACUUUCUUUGGGAAAGCGCUCCUUGGUUUUGGAAUGCUUUGGUUUUGGAAUGGACUUCCGGAACAGAACCAAGGUACCACUGUAUAAGUCCAUUACAUAGUCUCACAAUAGUAUCUGUUUCCAGAAAUUGCACCUGUUCUUUAAACUAGUACAGGCUCAGGUUUGGUUUGGUUUUGUUUUUUUAAGAAAAUGACUGCAUUCAUCCUAACUUCUCUUUGCUUAUUCUCUCUAUCCAUCAAUGUAGGGGGAGAAGCCAGAAUGGAGGCUGAGAACCUCACUUCUAUUACUGAAUUCAUCUUGGUGGGACUCACCAGCCACCGCAAGACCCAGAUUUUGCUCUUUGUGGUCGUCCUCAACAUAUAUUUGCUUACCAUUGCGGGGAACCUGGUGAUCAUCAUGCUUGUUCGG